AUAGAAUGUUUGUGUCCCUAAACUGAUUGUUUAUGUUUUUGUUAUAACUCUUGGACAUUUAUACUUAUACAUUGAUGUGCCAAAAUAUUUUGUUUUACAUUUUCCAAAAUUAAACACUGUCAUUGCUUUGUUUCUAUUUCUUUGUAAUAAUUAGCUCAUAUAUUCUUUUUGCAUUGAUUACAUUUUGUCGCUAACCAGGACGGGGCAAUAUGUGGUUGAGAGGUCGGACACGCUUGGUUACGGUUAGGCCAUCUAGCUUUGUGGCUGGAACUUCAAUCCUGGACUCAAGCAGAGUUGUGUUUGCUGAACUGCCUCAAUGUAACAAAAUAGAUUGGACUAUAGGCUAUACGCAUAAGAGAUAGACUAAAUAAAAGCAAUGAAAAAAAAAAGCGAAA